CCCAUAGUUCGGCCUUGUAAGCUAAACAGCGCCCAAUCAAAAAAAAGAAGCCGUCGAUCCACUUUUUGUCGCUGUAUCUAAGGAGAUCACCACAUCUCCCUUUAUCGCCGUUCCUUCCAUGUUUCACAGGUUCCAACUAGUGACAAUGAAGACAUCUUUUCAAUUCAUGCCUGGCAUACAUUAUGUCCUCAGUCUGAGUUCUGUAGCUAUGACAGGUUAUUGGUGUCUUCCAUCCAGGGGUCUCACAAAAAAUUUGUAGAGAAUCCAUCCUCAAUGUGGCAAAUUUUAUUCUUUGUGUAAUCAGGCUAAAUUUUGACAAAUUCUCUCCAUAAAGGUUGCUAUUUGUUAGGUUCUAAGGACAUUUAUGGUUUCUAUUUCUAGCUAAGGUUCGUUGUGAGUCCUUGUAACUGGUUUUUUCUCUUUAUUUGGUUUGGUUUGGGAGCUUGUGUUUUUGGUCUUGUUUCCUCUUGUGGCUACUAUUUGUUAUUUUAGUUGGGGUCUAGCUUUUGAUUUCUGUUGCUGGUUUAGGUAAUUGUUGUUGUGGAUUUUGUUAACUUUGUUGUUUGCUUGUGGUUCUUCAAUUUCUUGUUGUGGUUCUUCUACUUCGAAGAUACUGAAUAUUGAUUUAUUAUCUUUCUUUUUUUCUGUGAUCUUGCUAUUCCUACUCCAUUCUUAUUGCUCUCCUCUUUUAAUUCAUUUUCCCCUUAUCUGCCUCUGUACCACUAUUUAGGGUCCAAAGUUAUCCAUGCUUUGAGUCAUUAUGGCUUUUUCUUUUUUCUUUCUUUUGGCUUCUUCAUUUUUAUCUUAUUUCACUUGAUUGUUGCCUCCCGCUUGGUCUUUAUUGUUGGUUUCAGCUCCCACUUGAUUAUUCUCGGUAUUAAGAAUUACAUUGGUUUGAUCUUCUCUCUUUUUUCUCAUCACAUAGUUCUUUUGGUCAUGAUUGGCUUUACCGUAUGCAAAAUAAAUCUGAUGCUUUUGUAUUUUAUAUGAUAAAAUUUUUUAUUGACCAUAUAUCUCCCAAAUAGAGGUUUGGUUAGAUCAACCUCGAUACAUAAUCUAGCAAAUUUUUCUUUACAAAGAUGAAAAGUAUUAUAAUCAACUUUGCUGGUUUUUCCAAUAAGAUCUCAUAUCUUUCUCAAGAUUUUGUCAUUAUAGAGUUCUACGAGGAGCCCUAGUAAUCCAACCCAUGCUAUAAUUUUAUCUAUGGUUGUGUUAAGAGACUUAAAAUUUGGUUUCCAUUGCCUAAUAGCUAGGUAGUGAUCGUAUAUUUUUCAGGGACCAUCUAGAAAUAGCAUGAUCUAGAUCAUCUUGAGCAUAAAACGUGACUAUGUAAAAGUUGUUUCCUAGAUCAAUAACUUCAAUCCCACCAAAUCUGCCCCACAAGGCUUCCAACCUCAUCUUCAUUGCAAUGUAGCCUAGUUUUCUUUCUAACAGUUUAACUAUUAGGUACCUCCACCAGGAUUUUCAUAGUUCAUGUUCCGCGCUUCACUGAUAAGAAUAUUAAAGAGAUCUUUUCCAAAGUCCACUACUUUGAUUUUCGAUUUGCUAGUGUUGUCCUUCUUAUUCCUAUUUUCUUCU